rnacentral:tRNA from 1 species
GCGGGUAUAGUAUAGCGGCUAUUAUAUCGGUUUUCCAAACCGAGGAUACGGGUUCGACUCCCGUUACCCGCUCCA